UCUUGGCUAUCAAGAAACAUAUAACAGCUUGUAUGACGUUCAUGUUUAACGCUGAAAGACUUAAUUUCUUUUCAUAGCAGACUUUUCAUACUAGUGAGAUUCUUACCGUAGUUAAAUAUAAUACAAGAAUAAGGAAACAGUCGCAGGAAUUUAUUGUAAAACAAUCCACAUUAAAGUUGUACUCAUUUCUAAUUAUAUAUGACGAAAAACAGCCCGAACACAGUAUUUUUUCCAGACACAUGGAAAUAUUUCGGCAGUCAUUGAAAUAACACCAAACAUGAGUUCAAAUAUCUUCUGCCUUGUACCCUUUCUGGAUCGAUAAAUAAAGUACCAAUGAAGCACUGAGAUAAAUUAUUCCCACUAGAGAAAUAGAUACGAAGCCAGUAGGACGGAAGUAGUGGAUCAGUUCGAUUUCUGCGCUCUACUAUUAGUUUCAUCCCCAGAGGAAUGGGAAUGAAAGUCAACGUGUAUAUGGACGAGAAGUUAAGUUAUUUAUUUGUAAUAAAAUAAUACAAAUAUUGAGAGAUUAAAAAAAAAU